UGACAGGGAGGAGUGCAAAACCAAGGAGUUGGCUAGACUCCCAAAUAUAUAUAUUUGGGAGUCUAGCCAACUCCUUGGUUUUGCACCCCUAAU